UAUACAAGUCCUCUUGUAAUAAGUUGUUCUUGCUCGUGCAGACUGCCUGCACUCUGUAUGAUCAUUGAGCCUUCUCUGCGCAGAGAAAAUUCUUUGUUUCAGCACCUUUAAAAGAUUCGCGGUUUAGCGGGUAUAAUAAUUUCCACCACACUGGUCACUGUGUUGCUGAUGAAAGUUUUUUCUGCCGCAAGGACUAAGGAAGAACAAAGAACUGUUCCAACUUUUUACCCUAUCUAAAGACAAACAAGCGUUACAAGAAGUUUAUAAACCAGCAUAUUAUCAACAAGAUGAGUGAAAACAGAUGUGACCAGGUGAUAGGAGAACGU